rnacentral:rRNA from 1 species
UUGGAAGUUAAGCAGGAUCGGGCCUGGUUAGUUCUUGGAUGGGAGACAGCCUGGGAAUACCAGGUGCUGUAAGAUU